AGGAUCAACGCUGGCGGCGUGCCUAAUGCAUGCAAGUCGAGCGAGGUCCCUUUCGGGGGGCUUCCGCGGCGGACGGGUGCGUAACACGUGGGCAACCUGCCCUGGGGCGGGGGAUAGCCGUGGGAAACCGCGGGUAAUUCCGCAUACGUUCAUCUCUCGGGCGGAGGGGUGAAGAAAGGUUCUUCGGAGCCACCCCUGGAGGGGCCUGCGGCCGAUUAGCUAGACGGUGGGGUAACGGCUACCGUGGCGGUGAUCGGUAGCUGGUCUGAGAGGACGGCCAGCCACACGGGGACUGAGACACGGCCCCGACUCCUACGGGAGGCAGCAGCAAGGAAUCUCCGCAAUGGGGGCAACCCUGACGGAGCAACGCCGCGUGGGGAUGACGCGCUUCGGCGUGUAAACCCCUUUCUGCGGAAGAAGGGCCGGAGUGAUCUGGUCUUGACGGUACCGGAGGAAGAAGGACCGGCUAACUACGUGCCAGCAGCCGC
rnacentral:rRNA from 1 species